UAUAACAAAUACUACAGACUGGGUGACUUAAACCCCAGACAUUUAUUUUUUCAUCAGACCAUUCUGGAUACUGGGAAGUCAAAGAUCAAGGUGCUGGCAGAUUCAGUUUUUGGUGAAGGCUCUCCUUCUGUCUUGCUCCUGUCUUUCUUCUCACUGUACCCUCGCAUGGCAGGUAAAGAAAGUUUUAGUGUGUCUUCUUCUUAGCACGACACUAAUUUCAUCAUGGCAGCUUCACCUUCAUGACUUCUUCUAACCUAAUCACCUCCCCAAAGCCCCACCUCCUAAUAUCCUUACAUUGGGGGUUAGGAUGUCAUCAUAUGAAUCUUGUGUGUGUUGGGGUCAGGGCACAACAUUCAGCCCAUAAUAGUUAAGGAAUUGACUAUCUGCAGACUGAAUGUGGGCCAUGGGGGAUAGAGUCAGUUGGGAGCUGUUCUAGGUCCUGAGAAGUCCACAUGGCGGCAACAGAGUUGUAAGAGGGGAGGUUGCUAAGUCUGUGUGUGGAAUGGAUGAUGAAAAGCCAGGAGGUGGUGCAGAAAGGAAGGGACAGCGGUCACCUGCAUGAGAUGCCCGCAAGCCCACCAAACCAGCAGGGGAGAAGCUCUAACUCCUGGAGACUGCUGUCAGAGAGGUCCAAUGCAGGGUUAGAAGCAAGCUAAGCAUCAGGAAGUGACAGAACUUCCCUGUGCUCUUCUCUUCACUCAUUCCUCCUGAGCUUUCACAGGUGGGGAAUGUACUGGGAGGAGGGGACCCGCUGGGUAGGAAAUGAGUGGAAAAGAUCAGUUGUCCAUGUUUCUUUCCCUGAACACAGUCAACCUGCCAAAUACUUUCCUCAGCUAGAAGAUGGGGAGAAGCCUGGCCUGAGUCUGAAAUGUUCACGUCUUAGGUUAGACAUUUACAGUUUCCAAAGGAGAGUGCUUUGGACUUAGAAGACUUGAGGACUAAGCGUGAAUAGACCAAAUGAAAAUCUGACCAGUAAUGCCCACUUAUCUACCUCUCUGAAGUACUGGAAGAAUUAAUGAUGGACUGUAAAAUGUACUGAAAAGAAGAGAACACUGAGAUUUGAUGAGUAUUUUUGAUAAGUAUCAACGGUAAUGCCGGGAAUCCUGUUGCCUGGAGACCACUGUUGAAGAACAUCCACUGCCAUGGCCUCGUGGAGAUUUAAGACAUCUAAAAAGGAGCUGAUAGAAAUCAUCAGCUUGCCCCUGAGAAACUAGCAUCUUCUAAAAGUCACAAUAAAGCACUUGUUUGGAUAUUACUUAUUUUGAGUAAUCUUUAUAAUUAAAGU